ensembl:lncRNA
GGAAGAUCCCCGUGGAGAAGGAAAUGGCAAUCCACUCCAGUAUUCUUGCCUGGAAAAUCCCAUGGACAGAGGAGUCUGGCAGGCUACAGUUCAUGGGGUCUCAAAGAAUGGGACACAACUGAGCAAUUUCACUUCUCACUCUCUAAAAGGAUAAUAUCCAUAGACGAAAACAAGUAAAAGUUACUAAUUUUUCUAGCACCACAUGAAAACACAUGAACAUUCCGGUUUUCAAAAUGACUGUCCAGGGUCCCCUAAAUCACCUCUGGGAAACACAGAUCCAGUUCGUCAUCAUUCCCAAUGCUCCUCACCCUGAGGCCUGCAGAGGAGAAGGCGUGGAUCUGAAGUCCCACAGGUAGCACUUCACAGUAGUGAGACCAUAUUCAGGUCUGAUCCCAGACUGGGGGUCUCCCUAGAAAACUCCCUGCUCUUCUCAUAAAUGCAGAGCCUUUCUCUAGCCAGCCCACUUCUCUCCCCACCAGGUCCCUCCUUCCCUUUGUCUCCUGCACCUGCACAUUUGCAGAUCAGCCACUAGAGGGCUCUUUGGGAUCAAGAUAUAGAGCUGUGGCAGCCCCAAAUGUUUCUCAGGGAAAUCCUCAAGCCACUGGGGUUCUGUCUCAAAAUGUCCUGAGUCUGACACAGCGAGACAGUGGCAUAGAAAGGCAGAGACCCAGGCAAGACCCACCUGACUUGACCCAGGUGAAAACACAGUUCACCACAAUCAUCCUCAGCAUCACUUCUUACUGGCACUUGCUAUAUGACAGGUGUUGUGCAAACGCUUGGCAUGUCUUAUCUCAUUUAAUCCUCAUCAUGAUGAGGAUGAGCUUUAUUUUUUGGGGCUCCAAAAUCACUGUGGAUGGUGACUGCAGCCAUGAAAUUAAAAGACGCUUGCUCCUUGGAAGAAAAGCUACUGACAAACCUAGACAGUGUAUUAAAAAGCAGAAUCAGUUUGCUGACAAAAUUCUGUCCAGUUAAAACUAUAAUUUUUCCUGUAGUCAUGUACAGAUGUGAAAUGGGAUCAUAAAGAAGGCUGAGCGCUGAAGAAUUGAUGCUUUCAAACUGUGGUGCUGGAGAAGAUUCUUGAGAGUCCCUUAGACUGCAAGAUCAGAUCAGUCAACCCUAAAGGAAAUCAAGCCUUAAUAUACACUGGAAGGACUGAUGCUGAAGCUUCCACCUGAUGCGAAGAGCCAACUCACUGAUGGAGGAAAAGAAGAACACAAAUUAAGUGGCUUGGGACUUCCCUGGUGGUCCAGUGCCUAAGACUUCACACCCCUCAAUGCAGGGGACGUGGGUUCUAUCCAGGGAACUAGUUCUCGAGUGCUGCAAGCAAGAGUUCGCAUGCUGCAACUAAAUAUCCUGAGUGCUGAAACUAAAGCCUGGCGCAGCCAAAUAAAUAAAUAAAGAUUUUUGAAAAAGUAAAGACAAAAGAGUAUUUACAAUAUUUACAUUUUUAAAAAGAACAAGAAGUUAAGUGGCUUGUAACUUAUGGCAGUGACUUCAAGUGGAGUCUCCCAGUUCAUGAGUGCUAGGGUCAGGAUUCAAUCCAGGGAUGCCUGACUCCAGAACUAUGCCUUAUAUUUGAGUUUUUGAAACUAAUCAUAAAUACAGGACAUCAGAAGAUUAAGGAACAGGAGCAACUAGGACUG